rnacentral:rRNA from 1 species
CGGGACGGGUGAGUAAUGUCUGGGAAACUGCCUGAUGGAGGGGGAUAACUACUGGAAACGGUAGCUAAUACCGCAUAACGUCGCAAGACCAAAGAGGGGGACCUUCGGGCCUCUUGCCAUCGGAUGUGCCCAGAUGGGAUUAGCUAGUAGGUGGGGUAACGGCUCACCUAGGCGACGAUCCCUAGCUGGUCUGAGAGGAUGGCCAGCCACACUGAAACUGAGACACGGUCCAG